UGAAUCAUUGAUUAAUUUCUGCCUUACACUUUUUGGACUUCCGUACACAGGUGCUUAACUGUUGAAGCUCUCCCUCUGCUUCGGGCUUAUGGUAUUCCUCGUUGCCGUCUCCGCCUCCGGCUAGAGAUCUCCACCGUUACCCUGCAGUUUCUCUUCCUCUACGAACAGUGAUUUCAUUCAUUGAAUCCUCAUCCUAAUCAGCGAACCAUCGCUUGAGCUCUCGCUUGUUCAGCCGCUACACUAUCACCACCGGCGAUUCUCUGCAUUAAGAACUCAUUGGAAUAAUCGGAAUCGCGGCGCUAACGGAGAAGUGUUCUAACUAUGGCCACGGGUUGGAGAUGGUGCUAUGUCAUCCUAGUCAUUCUACUGCUUGCUCCGUUCGUGGCUUCUUCACGUUCAGUUAUCAGGAAUUUACCUGGCUUUUCUGGUGACCUCCCAUUCAAACUUGAAACUGGAUACAUAGGAGUGGG